ensembl:lncRNA
GUGCAGCCUGGUUGGGAGGAAAGAGGAAACAGCAGCUUCUGGAGGAGAAGUUACAGUGGUGCAGAUCACACUUUGAGCCACAUGAACUGCUAGUCUCUACCCUGCAGUCUACUAGAGAAACUUGGGCAUAUGGGCAUGGAGACAAUUGGGUCUUUCCAAGGAUGGUUUCGGUACUUUUUGUUCACAGUCUGGGUGAUGAAUGUCGCAAUGCUGUUCCUGCUAACACACCUGGAAAAACAGGUGAUGGUGAUACAAAUGCAAUGCAAGCAAGCCAAGAGCAAUGCUCCCAGAAGCAGAUUUGAAGCCAGAGAUAGCCAUGCGGAGUACGAGCAGAUAUGAGAGAAACUGCACAUGCUUUUGAAAUGAUGCUGAAUCAAAAACAGCUGGUGUGGUUUUCCUAUUUGUUUUUUGUUUUUUUCACAUUUCAAAGAGAUAAAAGAAUAAAUUAUACCCCAUAAUGUAAACAUUGUUGUACUUGAAUGAAUUAAUUUGUAAGUUAAAAAAAAUAAUGAAAAUCAUUUUUUUUAUCCAAUUUGGCUGCUCUUUCAAAGAAGGAAAUACUCAUAGUUAUAAUUCAACGCAUUCUUAUGUGCUGUCAUUUGAACCGCUG